AGAGUUUGAUCCUGGCUCAGGAUGAACGCUGGCGGCGUGCCUAAUACAUGCAAGUCGAGCGAACCCUUCGGGGUUAGCGGCGGACGGGUGAGUAACACGUGGGUAACCUGCCUGUAAGACUGGGAUAACUUCGGGAAACCGUAGCUAAUACCGGAUAGGUUUUGAUUCGCAUGAAUCAAAAUGGAAAGAUGGCUUUUGCU
rnacentral:rRNA from 1 species